CUAAUCCAACAUCAGAGUGAAUGAGAGGGGUCAGCGUGCAAAUCUCCCAAUUUAAGCAAACACACAUGAAUUUGGCCUGCUAAACGAUCAACAUGCAGGCCUUUACCCUUUGGAAUGGCACAGUUUUCUAAACCUGAUAUUAAAACCCCCAUUUUCAUUUAUUUGCCUUUCAAAAUGCUAAUAAUCUUUAAGCUCCCCCCCUUUUUUUUAAAAAAAAAGAAUAACCCUUAAUCUGCUCUGUUAGGAUCGGUUCAGCAUGCAGCCGUCGAACACCAUCCAUUCGAUGGCCGACGACGUGAACAACGACCAGAUUUCACCAAUCGGGGCCGUGACCACUGAGAUCUGGUAACUUUGCUUCUUCUUUUUAUUUUUUUUUUAAAAAAAAGGUUUUGAUUCCUAUGAUAUUCUUUGGAAAAUGAAACAAACUUGGAAGAUUUAAACAGUAUCCCGAUACCAUUCGACCCUCGCCCACAUCUAUAUAUUUUCGAGAUGUUUGGGCUCUCAUCGGCGUCGAUUCGGGUACCCACUUCAUGUAUUCAUGCCUAAGUUGCAAGCCAAUCGCAAGAAACAAAAAAAGAAAGAAAAAAAAACAGAUUUGGAAAUCACCUUCCGAUAACUUUCGACUUGAUUUCUUUUGAUAUUCAGUGUGCGUAAUAUGUUUGUGUUUGCGUAUUGUGCGAAUAUUGUCUCUAUUUUUGUAACCUUUGCAGAGAUUAAGAACUAUGGCUUUAUAACCGAAAAGAAAAAAAGAAAAAGGAAAAUAAAUUAAAAAUACAAUUUUCAUUCCCUUCUAUUUGCUGUUCUGCUGUUUUUUGUUUGUAUUUGCUGCCGUGUUCGUCCUUCUUGCAGGUACAGGGUACGUUGACAUCGUACGGAGGUUGUGCUGGCACGGGCGUGGCUGCUGGAGGGUACGGAGCGAGGCUGGGGGUUGUAUGCGCCUGGAGGCUACGGUACUAAGCAAGGGCUAGGGUUUCUGAACUUUGGUUUAGGUAUUGGGCCUAUUGGGCCGUUUGGAUUUUGGGUUAUACAUUAGUUUGGGCUUUGAUUGGUUAUUGGUUUGUAAAAGGACACUUAAUUAUUGGGUUUUUUAUUAUAAUUAUUUUUUGGUUUAUUUUUUGUCUUGUUUUGUGUUUGCAUAGGCCCGGGCCAAAAUUGGUCAUUACAAAAAAUGUAUAUAAUUUUUAUUGCAUCAACUAUAAGUGUCUGAAAUUUAAAAUAAUUUUACUUUAAUAUUAAAAUCAAUGACUUUUCUGAAUAAAAACGAAUAAAAACGAUAGGA
rnacentral:lncRNA from 1 species